UCCCAAGUUACUCACGGUGUUUGCAAAGCU
rnacentral:piRNA from 2 species